rnacentral:rRNA from 14 species
CGUCAAGUCAUCAUGGCCCUUACGGGAUGGGCUACACACGUGCUACAAUGGUAGUGACAAUGGGUUAAUCCCAAAAAGCUAUCUCAGUUCGGAUUGUCGUCUGCAACUCGACGGCAUGAAGUCGGAAUCGCUAGUAAUCGCGUAACAGCAUGACGCGGUGAAUACGUUCCCGGGCCUUGUACACACCGCCCGUCACACCAUGGAAGUUGGCCACGCCCGAAGCCGUUACUCCAACCCUUGUGGAGGAGGACGUCGAAGGUGGGGCUGAUGACUGGGGUGAAGUCGUAACAAG